CAAAAUGCGAUGAUGAGAAGAGUAAAUAAAAUGUUUCUAUACAGAGAGCUCCGCAAGCUGAAAUGGAGCAAGAAUCGUUUUGUUGAACCAAGUCUUUGAGUAGUACAUCGGAACCUACAGUAGGGGGUGGUGUAACGGGCGCUCCCGUUAUAGAGCUAAGGUAUAAGCAUAUUCAUGUCGUACCUGAUAAGGUUAGUAUGGAAACAUAUUAAUGAACUGGGGUGGCACCACGAUUUUAAACUCGUCCUCAAG
rnacentral:ncRNA from 1 species